AGCGAGCGCUGGCGGCAGGCCUAACACAUGCAAGUCGAACGAAGUCUUCGGACUUAGUGGCGGACGGGUGAGUAACACGUGGGAACGUACCUUUUGGUUCGGAACAACUCAGGGAAACUUGAGCUAAUACCGGAUAAGCCCUUCGGGGGAAAGAUUUAUCGCCAUUAGAGCGGCCCGCGUUAGAUUAGCUAGUUGGUGAGGUAAAGGCUCACCAAGGCUACGAUCUAUAGCUGGUCUGAGAGGAUGAUCAGCCACACUGGGACUGAGACACGGCCCAGACUCCUACGGGAGGCAGCAGUGGGGAAUCUUGCGCAAUGGGCGAAAGCCUGACGCAGCCAUGCCGCGUGAAUGAUGAAGGUCUUAGGAUUGUAAAAUUCUUUUACCAGGGACGAUAAUGACGGUACCUGGAGAAAAAGCCCCGGCUAACUUCGUGCCAGCCGCCGCAGUAAAAC
rnacentral:rRNA from 1 species